rnacentral:rRNA from 1 species
UAGUGAGUUUGAUCUGGCUCAGGAUGAACGCUGGCGGUAUGCUUAACACAUGCAAGUCGAGCGAGACCUUCGGGUCUAGCGGCGGACGGGUGAGUAACGCGUGGGAAUCUGCCCUUGGGUUCGGAACAACAGUUGGAAACGACUGCUAAUACCGGAUGAUGACUUCGGUCCAAAGAUUUAUCGCCAAAGGAUCGGCCCGCGUUGGAUUAGGUAGUUGGUGGGGUAAUGGCCUACCAAGCCGACGAUCCAUAGUCUGGUUUGA